UUUAUAUGAAGGAGAUACAAGCGCUCAAAGUUAAGGUUUUGAUUUGGGAGCUACUGUCACUCUUUUUGGCAUAACACACGAGUACAGAUAGCAAUUGAGGAUCGGCAACUGCUACUGGAGAGAACACUUUUGCGGCUACACUUUUGAUAUACUUUUUAUUGGAUUCCAAGUUAUAGUGAAGGAGUUAUUGGAUUUUGAAGUCAGAAUAUGCAAUCUAAGGGUAGUAAGUAAUCCGAUUUGCUAGUGGUUAUCUCUUGAGCUAUAUCUUAAGCAAUUUGACAAG
rnacentral:lncRNA from 1 species